CGGACGGGUGAGUAACGCGUGAGAAUCUACCUUCAGGACGGGGAUAACAGUGGGAAACGCUGCUAAGACCCGAUAGACCCGAGCGGGUAAAGAUUUACGCCUGAAGAUGAGCUCGCGUCCGAUUAGUUAGUUGGUGGGGUAAAGGCCUACCAAGACGCGAUCGGUAGCUGGUCUGAGAGGACGACCAGCCACACUGGGACUGAGACACGGCCCAGCUCCUACGGGAGGCAGCAGUGGGGAAUUUUCCGCAAUGGGCGCAAGCCUGACGGAGCAAACCGCGUGCGGGAGGACAGUCCAUCGGAUUGUAAACCGCUUUUCUCUGGGAAGAUGUGACGGUACCAGAGGAAUCAGCAUCGGCUAACUCCGUCCAGCAGCCGCGGUAAGACGGAGGAUGCAAGCGUUAUCCGGAAUUAUUGGGCGUAAAGGUCCGCAGGUGGUUUCUCAAGUCGGCAGUCAAAGACCGGAGCUUAACUUCGGAAAGGCUGGGAAACUGAGAGACUAGAGAGAGGUAGGGGUAAGGGGAAUUCCCGGUGUAGCGGUGAAAGCGUAGAGCUCGGGAAGAACACCGGUGGCGAAAGCGCCUUACUGGACCUCAUCUGACAUCAGGGACGAAAGCUAGGGGAGCGAAAGGGAUUAGAUACCCCGGUAGU
rnacentral:rRNA from 1 species